CGCGGGGUAGAGCAGUUGGCAGCUCGUCAGGCUCAUAACCUGAAGGUCGUGGGUUCGAAUCCCACCCCCGCAA
rnacentral:tRNA from 2 species